GGUUGGUCGGCUCCGCUGGGAGCACAGAGAGGAUGUGCGGAGAUGUGCAAAAGGUAGCAGGCUGCAGGUUUCUCCUCGCAGCGACCUGGUGGGACGCUCGGUGGAACUACAGACUUGGACCAUCUGCUGUGGUGUCAUCGUUGAAAAAACCCCCGUCUGAAGUUUUUCUUAGCACAACUGUCUGUUGCCUUUGUCGGAGUUCAGCUUCUUGCUGAGGUGACUCAUUUCAUCACUCUGUCGGGAAAAGGCUGACACAGAGGCCUGCUGGGUAAUAUUAACCUCUGUUGAUUACGGCGAUCCAGCGCGUGUUUGUCUGUGGGAAGAGAGCUUCACCAAACUGGGAAGAAAAGAACAAAUCCAACGCUGACUUGACUUGACAACUUUAUCUCGGGGAAAUUAUUUAUUUUCAGUCAACAGCCGAGACUAAAUAGCCGCUUUAACUUUCCUCUUCCUUUGUUUGUUUGGGGGUGUUAUUGUUAUUUAACUGGAAGAAAAAGCUGCUGAGAAACGUUCCAUUUACAAAACUUUGACAGCCGACAGCUGAUUUAACAAGCUGUCAAAAAUAAUGGAUGAAUUGAUCUGAAAAUGUACGCAAACUUCUCCUAAAACGCCGAUCACAGUGUAGGCCAAAGUCAAGUCAAAGCUUUUCAACAGAUAAGCAUGGAAGAGCAUUUAUGAUCUCAGUUCGUAGCUAUUUUGUUGUCAUUUAUACCUGAAUACUGUGUUUUGGAGACAACAGCUGUAUUUUUUGCAUUUUGUAUUUUUGACACAUCUG